GAUGAACGCUGGCGGCGUGCCUAAUACAUGCAAGUCGAGCGAACGGACGAGAAGCUUGCUUCUCUGAUGUUAGCGGCGGACGGGUGAGUAACACGUGGAUAACCUACCUAUAAGACUGGGAUAACUUCGGGAAACCGGAGCUAAUACCGGAUAAUAUUUUGAACCGCAUGGUUCAAAAGUGAAAGACGGUCUUGCUGUCACUUAUAGAUGGAUCCGCGCUGCAUUAGCUAGUUGGUAAGGUAACGGCUUACCAAGGCAACGAUGCAUAGCCGACCUGAGAGGGUGAUCGGCCACACUGGAACUGAGACACGGUCCAGACUCCUACGGGAGGCAGCAGUAGGGAAUCUUCCGCAAUGGGCGAAAGCCUGACGGAGCAACGCCGCGUGAGUGAUGAAGGUCUUCGGAUCGUAAAACUCUGUUAUUAGGGAAGAACAUAUGUGUAAGUAACUGUGCACAUCUUGACGGUACCUAAUCAGAAAGCCACGGCUAACUACGUGCCAGCAGCCGCGGUAAUACGUAGGUGGCAAGCGUUAUCCGGAAUUAUUGGGCGUAAAGCGCGCGUAGGCGGUUUUUUAAGUCUGAUGUGAAAGCCCACGGCUCAACCGUGGAGGGUCAUUGGAAACUGGAAAACUUGAGUGCAGAAGAGGAAAGUGGAAUUCCAUGUGUAGCGGUGAAAUGCGCAGAGAUAUGGAGGAACACCAGUGGCGAAGGCGACUUUCUGGUCUGUAACUGACGCUGAUGUGCGAAAGCGUGGGGAUCAAACAGGAUUAGAUACCCUGGUAGUCCACGCCGUAAACGAUGAGUGCUAAGUGUUAGGGGGUUUCCGCCCCUUAGUGCUGCAGCUAACGCAUUAAGCACUCCGCCUGGGGAGUACGACCGCAAGGUUGAAACUCAAAGGAAUUGACGGGGACCCGCACAAGCGGUGGAGCAUGUGGUUUAAUUCGAAGCAACGCGAAGAACCUUACCAAAUCUUGACAUCCUUUGACAACUCUAGAGAUAGAGUUUUCCCCUUCGGGGGACAGAGUGACAGGUGGUGCAUGGUUGUCGUCAGCUCGUGUCGUGAGAUGUUGGGUUAGGUCCCGCAACGAGCGCAACCCUUAAGCUUAGUUGCCAUCAUUAAGUUGGGCACUCUAAGUUGACUGCCGGUGACAAACCGGAGGAAGGUGGGGAUGACGUCAAAUCAUCAUGCCCCUUAUGAUUUGGGCUACACACGUGCUACAAUGGACAAUACAAAGGGUAGCGAAACCGCGAGGUCAAGCAAAUCCCAUAAAGUUGUUCUCAGUUCGGAUUGCAGUCUGCAACUCGACUACAUGAAGCUGGAAUCGCUAGUAAUCGUAGAUCAGCAUGCUACGGUGAAUACGUUCCCGGGUCU
rnacentral:rRNA from 1 species